GGCCGUGCGGGAGGAGGCGGCGGGAGCGGGCAUUGUGCGGGCGGCUCCGGGCUGCCCCGGGGGCUGCUCGCAGCCUGGGAGCCGGGUCCGGCCCGUCCUGAACCGCCGGCAGCCGUACCCACAGCGGUUCUCAUACCGGCACCGCGAUCCACGCCGCUGUCGGCACCGGCAUCGCUCUUGACAUCAGCACGGGCAUCGGCACCGGCUUGGGCACCGACACCGGUACCUGGAUCAACGGUGGCAUCGCCCGUCUGUGUUGGGAUCAACGGCGACAUCGGCGCCCGGGUCAGCACCGCCAUCGGUACCUCCGUCCCCAUCCGUACCCACACCGACAUCGACACGACCGCGCAGCCCAGCCUCAGCCAGUGUCACUCCUGCUGCUCCUGUGGCUGAGGGGACCGUGGCUCACUGUCUGCCCACAGCUGGAUCUGAGGAGGACUCCGGCCAAAGUUGUGGGGCUCCCAGCCCACAGCCCCCCGUGAGCAGCACCCAGGGCAGUGGGGAGACAGCCAGGCCAGGCUGGAGGGCGCCCGGGUUAGCAUGACCGAGGUGGAGCCGGUGCUGGAUUUUGCAUCCUCAGGGAGGACUGGACGCCGCAAUGCCCUACCUGACAUCUUGGGCUCACCGGCAGGCGUCAGCCCCUCUGACCUGCCCCUCAAACUGGCCGAGAUGUCCCUGAGUGCAGGCAGCUCCCAGGAGAUGCAGUCACCUUCUGCAGAAGUUCCCCCACCGCAGCCCCAAAGCCCGGAGCUGAAGGACACGUCCUAACCCUGCUGGGGGACUGAGCAGUGGGGUGAGGACGCUGCGGAGCAUCCGCAUCGCUGCCCUUGUGCCAUGCAGCGAGAGCAUCGCCUGCAGGAGAGGAGCCACGUGGGGACCUGUGGGGACAAAGGGACACUUCACUCCUGCGCAGGGCAAGGAUGGGGACGUUCAUCCCACAGGAGGACACUUUUCUUCCAGAAGCGAGCGGCCAGGGGGGGCCUAUGCCAUGAGCAGCCCAGGGGGUCUGAGUGUUGUUCACUGUGAUGUUUUGGGUACCACGUCCGUGUCCUGUCCUUCCUUUUUCCAGUGGGUGAUCCAAGAUCUUUUUUUUUUUUCUUUCUUUUUUCUGAGGAAGCAUCAUCGAUGGGCUGGGGAGGAGAGCCUCCCAGCAGCAGCCAGCACCUCACCAAGUGUUGCUCCAGAGUGCUCCUUGCAUCGGGGGAGCAGGGAGCUCAGCUGGGAUCAUGUUGCAAAGUCAUCCUUGGGGACAGUGACAUCUCUGCCACUCACAGCUCUGCUGCCUACUGAGUUGGGACUUACUGCUGGGGACAAAACACGUGGCCCAGCUCCAGAGCAUGGCAGGGGUGAGCAGGUGGGGGGCCAGAGAAGGGCACAGUGCUCAUAUCUGUUCCUAUCCCCAGGUGGUAACCUGGUGGUCACCCAUAGCUCUUGCUGUGGGACCAGUGAAUGGAGUCCUAAGGGCCACCCAGUUCUGAGCAGUGCUGCGUGGGGUGGGUGGCACUGAGAGCCACAGCGUGUGUCAGUGGGCAUGGGCACAUGUGGGAGUGAGUGCUGCUGGGGGUGGGCACUGUGUGCAGGGGUGUCUGUGCACAUGGGUGUCUGUGUGCGUGAGUGGCAGUGAGCAAUCACCCGUGUGCAUGGGCGUCCGUGUGCUUGUGUGCCUCUGCACGUCAGUGUCUGUGUUUGUGGGGGUCUUUUUGUGUGGGUGCUGCUGUGGGUGGGUGUUUGUGUCCAUGUGUGUGGAUGCCUGUGCACAUGGGUGCCUGUGUGCAUGGAUGCCGGUGUUCAAAAAUGCCCGUGUGCAGGGCUGUCCAUGUAUGUGAGUGUUCACGUGUGUGGUGCCCAUGUGCACGGGCUCUCCUGUGGAUGGCUGUCCCUGUGCACAUAUGUCUGUGUGUGUGUCCAUGUGCGUGCACAUCCAUGUCCUGUAGCCCUGCUGCACCAGGGGGAUGCUGGGAGCCCCAGGGCCGUGCGCAUUUGGGACUCUGAUGCCCAAGGGUGGCUCUGGGAGGAGCAGAGACAGGUGACCCCUCCAGGCCUGUCCCCAACCUGUGGCACCUGGAGGGUGUAUUCAAGGAGCACUGUGCACUCUGGGGGGGAGCUGUGUGACUCCCAGGGCCAUGGUUGGAUAAUAAACUGUGUGUGUUUCCCUGUGACACAGUGCUCCGUGCUCUGUCCCCACGGGGACUGGUGGCUGUCCCACCCAAGGGACAGGGGCUCCCACUCGCAGCCCCUCCAAGGCCAUGGGGAGGAGGCUGAACUUGAGCCCCUGGCUAUUUUUGGGUGCCUGCAGUGACACCUUAGGGAUAGAAAGAGAGACAAAGUGUCCCUGAGUGUCACCCAGGCACAGUCGUUUUGCCCCUGAUGCCACCACCCUGC